ACGACAAUAGCCUGUCUUCCAUCAACACUCCUCCAUGAAAAUCGUAUUUUCGAAAAACCCAAUUAAUAUUCUAAAUUCUCGAUCUACUUCUUCUUCCCUUUUUCUCUUCCAUUUCCGUUCCAAUGUUUUCAAAAGACGCAGCUUUGUUCUCAGUUCCAGCAGAAAAUGGACCCUUGGAACCAAAUCUCUCAAAUUAUCGUCUUCUCCCUUAAGAGCUUCGUGUGCUCCUAUCUCAACUGUCUAUGGCGGCUGGGACGAGGUUGCAGUCGCCGGUGACUCCGAUUCGCUGCGCAGUUUUCUCGCUUCCAUUGGAAUCGAUGAUAGGAAGAAUGUUUUCGUGUUCAUCUUGGGCGUUGUUUGCGCCAUGGCGAUUUCCAGGGUUAGGGUUUCUUCCAUCAUUGUUAUUCCAGCUUCAGCUCUUGUUUUUGCGGUUGGUUUCGCCGUAGGGUUUUUCCGAAGCGGUGCCUUCGGUGACGCCAGGAUUAGCGGGACCAAGAGGAAAGAGAAGGACGAGAAUUCGAAGCUGUUUUCGGAGAAAUUGAGGAGCUUGUUGGAAUUCUUCGAUGAACUCGAUGGUGUGGUCAAUAACAUGAAGAGCGAUGUACAAUUUGCCAUCAGGAAUAAGAAAAUUGAAGAGAGUGAUUUCUUUGGGUAUGUUGAUGUCACAGAUAAAAUAAAGUUGAAGGCUUUGAAUGCUAGGAAUAUUGUGAAGGCUUUAAUUGAUAAUGAGGGAAAUUCUAAUGGGGCUUUUGUUGAGAACAAUAAAGGUAGUAGAAGAAAGAAAGAUGCUGGAGAAGCUGGGUACCAGAUGCUACAAUCUAUUGGAAGUUUGUUUGGAGAAAAAUCAGUUACCUCGAAUUCUAACAAAGUCAGAGAAAAUGUUAAGCAAGAGACAGUGGAUAGAGCAUUGGAUCAAGCACCAGGAAAUGGUACUGUGCCUCCUGUUGAAGAUAAGGCUUCAAAUUCAGAUAGUAGAGGGAAUGGUAAGUUGGAUUCUUCUCUAGAUUCUUCAAUUAGCUCUGUUUCGGAUAUGUACAGAAAUGGAAGAAAAAAGGGUACUGCUGAGAAUGAUGAUUUUGGAUUAGGAGGUGUUGGCAGGAAAACUAAUAAAUUUCGUGAUGAGAAAGAAUAUAGUUACCGGAACAAAGGAUUGAGGUUCACAAAUAAUCGCAGUUUCUCUCUGAAGAUGGAUUCGAGCAGUGUAACAGACAUGUGGGAAUCUCAUGACAAUCUGCUUGAUUCUGAAAGCAUGAAAGUCAGAAUGGAACACAUGGAAAGUGAAUCUUCCUUUGUGCAGGAGCAGUUGCUCAAUCAAGGGCACAAAACUUUCACGUCUUCUUAUGACAAGAGGGAUGAUGAGCCUCGUAGGUCUCAAUUUGAAGAAGAUGCAAUGAAUUAUGAUCAUCGCAAUCAGCAUCAUGAUGAUGACUUGCCUGGGCGUGAGAGUGAAUUCAAUGCUUCUUCAUCUGCAAAGACAUCAGAUGAUGAAAUGUUUGGUAGGUUCCUUGCUGAAGCAACCGAACUUCAAAAGCAAGCAAAAGUGUUUAUAAAGGCUAGGCAUGAUGAAGAGCAAGCUGAAAUCAUGUUAUAUAGGUCUGCUAACCUAUUUUCCAAAGCUUUAGACCUGAAGCCUAUGAGUUUAUUGGCUGUAGGCCAGUUAGGAAACACUUAUCUUCUUCAUGGAGAAUUAAAGUUGAAGAUCAGUCGUGAACUGCGAGGUCUACUUUCAGGUAGCAUCCAACCAUCAUCUGGGAGACGUCGUAGAGUACUGAAGGGAAUGCAGAAAAAAAUCACUAGUAAAGAAGAAGUUGCACCAUUGCUUAUUGAUGUAUGUGAAGAAUGUGAAGAGCUUCUGGUUGAGGCUGGCAGAAAGUAUAGGCUGGCAUUGUCAAUUGAUGCGAAUGAUGUGAGAGCCCUGUAUAAUUGGGGCCUUGCUCUCUCUUUUCGUGGGCAAUUGAUAGCAGACAUUGGUCCGUUAUUGUUGUCUUCAAAUAUCACAGGGUGCUGCUUUUGAGGCUGAAAGAGUAUUCCUGGCUGCUAUUGACAAGUUUGAUGCUAUGUUGUUGAAGGGCAAUGUUUAUGCACCAGAUGCUUUGUUCAGAUGGGGUGUGGCAUUGCAGCAGAGAUCUCGGUUAAGGCCAGGAACCAGUAAAGAGAAGGUGAAGUUGCUGCAGCAAGCAAGAAGGCUCUAUGAAGAUGCCCUUCAUAUGGAUUCCAAUAACAUGCAAGCUAAAGAAGCUUUAUCCUCUUGUCUCUAUGAGCUCAAUUACCGGUAAUUCUAGCAGUCAAUUCAUCAUGGAAAGGAGUUAUCCAAGGGAAUCAAUCUGCUUUCAGUCCCCUGGUUUGCAUAAUAAUUUGGGCAUAGUGGAACUUAGCCAUGCAUGAUUCCUAGUAUUGUCUUUUUUGUAUUGAUUCUCCUUAUAGUUAGACAGAGACACCAAAAUAAUAAUAAUUAAUAAUAACGAGGGUGCUACACAAUCUACAGAAUGAGUUCUAUUCUUGGAGAGCACUUAGGAGGCUAGGAGAGUAAUUUUGACUACCUGAUAAUAACAACGGGGACAUAGCCUUGGUUUUGGGUUUUUGGGUUUACAUUGUAUUAUAUGAUAUGAAUCCUGAAGUGAAGAUGGAAAAAAGCAUGUGGUUUUGAUUAUGGGUGAAAGAAAUAAAUUGUAGUUGUGAA